UGCGUCGUUCCGGACGCCGCGGCCAUCCGCAUUUGCGGUGCGCGCGGGCGCGGGAUGGGUCGCCGCGUUGGAGAUGCCCUUAUAACCAGCAAGUGAGGUGGUCGGGAGGAUCAAGCAAUCAAAAACCAAAUUAUUUUCCUAUCUUUAUGUCUUUAGAUUUGUUUCUUUGUUCUUCCUGAGCCAAUCGGAGUUCCCACCUAUCUCUUCCAUGUCCAGGAAUUUCGGAUCCUGACAAUCCACUUGUGCCGCCACCCGCCGAGGUGCGAUACGAUUAGUGACUGCCUAUCGGAGCUCCCCGAUGACCUCCUCCGCCGCUCAACCUGGCCAUGGUUCGCGGCGGGAGUAGUUGAUUCUGUAUCUUCUGAACUCAUGACUGCAUUUCUUAAAUGAUGAGGAAUUAAUUAGCUUGCUGGCAUCUGAUGUUGUGAUCGGAUUGAUAGCAUCUUACAUUGGUGCCUCGAUGCAAUGGUCCUGCCUCCAGAGUGAUACAUUCUUUGCCUAUUUUAAUUUGUUAUUAAAGGGAAUCGGUGUAUCUUC